AGCUGGAUUCCAGCCGGGACCUGUCCGUGUUCCCCUUGGCCUCCUGCUGUGACAUCGCCAGUACCCCCUCAGUGACCCUGGGCUGCCUGGUCUCGGGCUACCUCCCAAUGCCAGUGACCGUGACCUGGGACACAGGGUCCCUAAACAAGAGCGUUGCCACCCUCCCCACCACCUUCCACCAGACCUCCGGCCUCCACAGCGCCAUCGGCCAGGUGACCACCUGGGGCGAGUGGGCCAAGCAGACGUUCACCUGCAGCGUGGCUCACACGGGGUCCCCCGCCAUCAACAAGACCUUCCGAGCAUGCGCCAGGAGCUUCACUCCGCCCACCGUGAAGCUCUUCCACUCCUCCUGCAACCCCCUCGGCGACACCCACACCACCAUCCAGCUGCUGUGCCUCAUCUCCGGCUACGUCCCGGGGGACAUGGAGGUCAUCUGGCUGGUGGACGGGCAGAAGGCCACAAACAUGUUCCCGUACACCGCGCCCGGCACACAGGAGGGCAACGUGACCUCUACCCACAGUGAGCUCAACAUCACCCAGGGCGAGUGGGUGUCCCAAAAAACCUACACCUGCCAGGUCGUCUAUCAAGGCUUGACCUUUAAUGCUAACGCUCGCAAGUGCACAGAGUCCGACCCCCGAGGCGUGAGCAGCUACCUGACCCCGCCCAGCCCCCUUGACCUGUACGUCCACAAGUCGCCCAAGAUCACCUGCCUGGUGGUGGACCUGGCCAGCACGGAGGGCAUGAGCCUGACCUGGUCCCGGGAGAGCGGGGAGCCCGUGCACCCGGGCAAACCGGAGGAGAGGACUCAGUUCAAUGGGACGAUUAGCGUCACGUCCACCCUGCCGGUGGACACAGAGGACUGGAUCGAGGGAGAGACCUACCACUGCACGGUGACCCACCCAGACCUGCCCAAGGACCUCGUGCGCUCCAUCGCCAAGGCCCCCGGCAAGCGUGCCGCCCCAGACGUCUACGUGUUCCUGCCCCCGGAGGAGGACGAGGGGACCAAGGACAAGGUCACCCUCACAUGCCUGAUCCAGAACUUCUUCCCUGCGGACAUUUCGGUACAAUGGCUUCGGAACGACAGCCCCAUUCAGACAGACCAGCACGCCACCACGUGGCCCCACAAGGUCACCGGCUCCAGGCCGGCCUUCUUCGUGUUCAGCCGCCUGGAGGUCAGCCGGGCGGACUGGGAAGAGCAGAACGCUUUCACCUGCCAAGUGGUGCACGAGGCGCUGCCCAACUCUAGGAUCCUCAAGAAAACGGUGUCCAAGACCCCCGGUAAAUAACGCCCCUCCCCCACCAGCUGCCCCUGGGCUCCCUCCUGCUGGGGCAGGGGCGGAGCUGACCAGGCCUCCCUCCCUCAUUCUCAAUAAAUACUGCAGUGUCCGCUCAGA